CGCCUGCUCGACACGCACGUGUGUACCGGCCGGCUGACCGGGCGCCGCCGCCGGCCACCAUGAGGCUCUCCGGCUCGCUCAGAUGGCUGCUGUUGCUGGCGAUGAUCUUCGCAGAGCUUCAGCAGAGCACUGUGAUGGCGAGAAGGAAGCACCGGAUCCGCCAUAACGUGCAGCGGCGGCUGAAGCGGCAGCAGAGCAGUCAAGUGUACGCCUACUCGGCC